GACGAACGCUGGCGGCGUGCCUAAUACAUGCAAGUUGAGCGCUGAAGGUUGGUACUUGUACCAACUGGAUGAGCAGCGAACGGGUGAGUAACGCGUGGGGAAUCUGCCUUUGAGCGGGGGACAACAUUUGGAAACGAAUGUUAAUACCGCAUAAAAACUUUAAACACAAGUUUUAAGUUUGAAAGAUGCAAUUGCAUCACUCAAAGAUGAUCCCGCGUUGUAUUAGCUAGUUGGUGAGGUAAAGGCUCACCAAGGCGAUGAUACAUAGCCGACCUGAGAGGGUGAUCGGCCACAUUGGGACUGAGACACGGCCCAAACUCCUACGGGAGGCAGCAGUAGGGAAUCUUCGGCAAUGGACGAAAGUCUGACCGAGCAACGCCGCGUGAGUGAAGAAGGUUUUCGGAUCGUAAAACUCUGUUGGUAGAGAAGAACGUUGGUGAGAGUGGAAAGCUCAUCAAGUGACGGUAACUACCCAGAAAGGGACGGCUAACUACGUG
rnacentral:rRNA from 1 species